GACGAACGCUGGCGGCGUGCCUAAUACAUGCAAGUCGAGCGGACCGAGCAGGAGCUUGCUCUUGUUCGGUUAGCGGCGGACGGGUGAGUAACACGUGGGUAACCUGCCCGUAAGACCGGGAUAACUCCGGGAAACCGGAGCUAAUACCGGAUAACACCGAAGACCGCAUGGUCUUUGGUUGAAAGGCGGCUUCGGCUGCCACUUACGGAUGGGCCCGCGGCGCAUUAGCUAGUUGGUGAGGUAACGGCUCACCAAGGCGACGAUGCGUAGCCGGCCUGAGAGGGUGACCGGCCACACUGGGACUGAGACACGGCCCAGACUCCUACGGGAGGCAGCAGUAGGGAAUCUUCCGCAAUGGACGAAAGUCUGACGGAGCGACGCCGCGUGAGCGAAGAAGGUCUUCGGAUCGUAAAGCUCUGUUGUUAGGGAAGAAGAAGCGUCGUUCGAACAGGGCGGCGCGGUGACGGUACCUAACGAGAAAGCCCCGGCUAACUACGUG
rnacentral:rRNA from 1 species